AUUGUUCUUAAAUUUUAAUUACCUUCACUUAUUAUGCUUGAACUGUCGCCUUCACUAUGUUAAGCAUCUAGACUAAAAGCCAAAAUAUAAUUAUUGCUGCCUCUCUAAAACCAAAAAUGUAGUUCUCUAUUAACCUGAAAUGUAUACUAACCCAGGA